AUACGGAGGACGCGAGCGUUAUCCGGAUUCAUUGGGUUUAAAGGGUGCGCAGGCGGCCGUGCAAGUCAGCGGUGAAAGCCCGGGGCUCAACCCCGGAAGUGCCGUUGAUACUGCAUGGCUGGAAUGCGGUCGAGGCGGGCGGAAGGGGGCGUGGAGCGGUGGAAUGCGUAGAUAUGCCACAGAACGCCGAUAGCGGAGGCAGCUCGCCAGGCCUGCAUUGACGCUCGGGCACGAAAGCGUGGGGAUCGAACAGGAUUAGAUACCCUGGUAGUCCACGCCGUAAACGAUGGGCGCUCGUCGUCGGCGGCAGACAGUCGGCGGCCAAGCGAAAGCGAUAAGCGCCCCACCUGGGGAGUACGGUCGCAAGGCUGAAACUUAAAGGAAUUGGCGGGG
rnacentral:rRNA from 1 species